GACGAACGCUGGCGGCGUGCCUAAUACAUGCAAGUAGAACGCUGAAGGAGGAGCUUGCUUCUCCGGAUGAGUUGCGAACGGGUGAGUAACGCGUAGGUAACCUGCCUUGUAGCGGGGGAUAACUAUUGGAAACGAUAGCUAAUACCGCAUAAGAGUAGAUGUCGCAUGACAUUUGCUUAAAAGGUGCAACUGCACCACUACCAGAUGGACCUGCGUUGUAUUAGCUAGUUGGUGAGGUAACGGCUCACCAAGGCAACGAUACAUAGCCGACCUGAGAGGGGGAUCGGCCACACUGGGACUGAGACACGGCCCAGACUCCUACGGGAGGCAGCAGUAGGGAAUCUUCGGCAAUGGACGGAAGUCUGACCGAGCAACGCCGCGUGAGUGAAGAAGGUUUUCGGAUCGUAAAGCUCUGUUGUCAGAGAAGAACGAGUGUGAGAGUGGAAAGUUCACACUGUGACGGUAUCUUACCAGAAAGGGACGGCUAACUACGUG
rnacentral:rRNA from 1 species